UACGUAGGGGGCAAGCGUUGUCCGGAUUUAUUGGGCGUAAAGAGCGUGUAGGCGGCUUUACAGGUCCGUUGUGAAAACUCGAGGCUCAACCUCGAGACGCCGGUGGAAACCGUAAAGCUAGAGUCCGGAAGAGGAGAGCGGAAUUCCGGGUGUAGCGGUGGAAUGCGUAGAUAUCCGGAAGAACACCUGAGGCGAAGGCGGCUUGCUGGGCAUGAUCUGACGCUGAGGCGCGAAAGCGUGGGGAGCAAACAGG
rnacentral:rRNA from 1 species